UACGGGAGGCAGCAGUGGGGAAUCUUGCACAAUGGGCGAAAGCCUGAUGCAGCGACGCCGCGUGCGGGAUGAAGGCCUUCGGGUUGUAAACCGCUUUCAGCAGGGACGAGGCCGCAAGGUGACGGUACCUGCAGAAGAAGCCCCGGCUAACUACGUGCCAGCAGCCGCGGUAAUACGUAGGGGGCAAGCGUUAUCCGGAUUCAUUGGGCGUAAAGCGCGCGUAGGCGGUCUGUUAGGUCAGGAGUUAAAUCUGGGGGCUCAACCCCUAUCCGCUCCUGAUACCGGCAGGCUUGAGUCUGGUAGGGGAAGAUGGAAUUCCAAGUGUAGCGGUGAAAUGCGCAGAUAUUUGGAAGAACACCGGUGGCGAAGGCGGUCUUCUGGGCCAUGACUGACGCUGAGGCGCGAAAGCUAGGGGAGCGAACAGGAUUAGAUACCCUGGUAGUCCUAGCUGUAAACGAUGGACACUAGGUGUGGGGAGAUUAUACUUUCCGUGCCGCAGCUAACGCAUUAAGUGUCCCGCCUGG
rnacentral:rRNA from 1 species